AUCCAGCUGACGAGUCCCAAAUAAUAAGAAACGCUCGUCCUGGAU
rnacentral:hammerhead_ribozyme from 1 species